UUAUUUGAGAGUUUGAUCCUGGCUCAGGAUGAACGCUGGCGGCGUGCCUAACACAUGCAAGUUGAGCGAUUUACUUCGGUAAAGAGCGGCGGACGGGUGAGUAACGCGUGGGUAACCUACCCUGUACACACGGAUAACAUACCGAAAGGUAUGCUAAUACGGGAUAAUAUAUUUGAGAGGCAUCUCUUAAAUAUCAAAGGUGAGCCAGUACAGGAUGGACCCGCGUCUGAUUAGCUAGUUGGUAAGGUAACGGCUUACCAAGGCGACGAUCAGUAGCCGACCUGAGAGGGUGA
rnacentral:rRNA from 1 species